rnacentral:rRNA from 1 species
CACGUAGUUGGCCGGUGCUUCUUCUGUACCUACCGUCACCCCAAGAAAAACUCCUGGAGCUUCGCCGAUACUGAAAGAGGUUUACAACCCGAAGGCCGUCAUCCCCCACGCGGCGUCGCUGCAUCAGGCUUGCGCCCAUUGUGCAAUAUUCCCCACUGCUGCCUCCCGUAGGAGUCUGGGCCGUAUCUCAGUCCCAGUGUGGCCGGACACCCUCUCAGGCCGGCUACCCGUCGUCGCCUUGGUAGGCCAUUACCCCACCAACAAGCUGAUAGGCCGCGGGCCCAUCCCGACACCGCAAAACGCUUUCCACCACACACCAUGAAGCAUGCGGUCCUAUUCGGUAUUAGACCCAGUUUCCCAGGCUUAUCCCAAAGUGCAGGGCAGAUCACCCACGUGUUACUCACCCGUUCGCCACUCGAGUCCCCCGAAGGGGCCUUUCCGUUCGACUUGCAUGUGUUAAGCACGCCGCCAGCGUGUCCUCGUAGCCACGGAGUCAACUAC